rnacentral:rRNA from 1 species
GACAGAGGGUGCAAACGUUGUUCGGAAUUACUGGGCGUAAAGCGCGUGUAGGCGGCCCUGCAAGUCGGGUGUGAAAGCCCGGGGCUCAACCCCGGAAUUGCCCUUGAAACUGGAAGGCUAGAAUCACGGAGAGGUGGGUGGAAUUCCGAGUGUAGAGGUGAAAUUCGUAGAUAUUCGGAAGAACACCAGUGGCGAAGGCGGCCCACUGGACGUGUAUUGACGCUGAGGUGCGAAAGCGUGGGGAGCAAACAGG